rnacentral:rRNA from 1 species
AGCGUGUGGUUUAAUUCGUUGACUCACGAAGAACCUUACCUGGGUUUGACAUAUAGGUUGUAGGGAACUGAAAGGGACCGACCCUUCGGGGAGCCUAUACAGGUGUUGCAUGGCUGUCGUCAGCUCGUGUCGUGAGAUGUUCGGUUAAGUCCGCUAACGAGCGCAACCCUCGUCGUAUGUUAUAUGUGUCAUACGAGACUGCCGGUAAAAGCCGGAGGAAGGUGAGGAUGAUGUCAAGUCAGCAUGACCUUUAUAUCCAGGGCUACACACACGCUACAAUGGUCUGUACAAUGGGUAGCCAAGCCGCGAGGCGGAGCCAAUCCUGAAAGCAGGCCUCAGUUCAGAUUGCAGUCUGCAACUCGACUGCAUGAAGCCGGAGUUGCUAGUAACCGCAGGUCAGCAAUACUGCGGUGAAUACGUUCCCGGGUCUU